GCUUUCCACUCCAAGUCUACUGCAAGAGAUAGAAAUCAGAACUAAACAGAGGGAGACACAAAUGCCUCCAGACACGAAAAGAGACAGACAGCUCCUUACUCUCACCUCCAAGAAGAGUCCAGAGGAGAGUAAAAGAGAAUCUGACCAUCAACUCUGGCUCUGGCCACUGUCUAAACUGACCCUGACUUCAGCACUGCUUCACUUGCGCCCCGUCCUCUGACUGUGUGAAAGCAUCGUGAAGGCAGACUCCUGUCGGCCUCGUUCCCACCGUUGCCAAACAGCUGGAACAGCAGUUCCACACAGGAUGUGGGCAAGAAAGAUGUCUUGAAAGAAGAGACAGGUGGACAGUGGACAGACAGAUGAAGACACGAUAGACCAAAUGCAGAGGACCACAGACAGGCCCUGGAGAGUACCAAGCGUGACUCGGUGAGAAGCUGGAAUAGGAACUUGAGAAGAGAAACCAGAAGAAAGACUGUUCUGGGACACUCAGCUCCCUGAACCUUCUUUCUAGAAAUAUUUUCAACAGGUGUGAGAGGUGGGGCCUGGUGUCCUGCCCACGCAGUCAUCUGAACAGAGGUGUAUUCGUCUGCUAGGCCUGCCCUUACAAAUGUCACACACCGGACGAAGGAAGCAACAGAAAUUGACAUCCCACAGGUCUAGAGGCUGGAAGUCUGAGAUCCAGGUAUGGGCGGGGCCAGUUCCUUCUAUAGGCUGUGAGAAGUACUCGUUCCAUCCUCUCUCCUGGCUUCCGGUGGUUUGCAGACAUCUCUGAUAUGACUUGGCUUGUAGAACAUGACCUUUCUCUGCCUUCAGCAUCACAUGGACAUUCUCCCUGUGUACCUGUCUCCAAGUUUCCCUGUUUAAUAAGAACACCAGUCAUAUACCUUGUCUUUUUUUUUUUUUUUAAUGUUCUCCUAUCCUAUGGGUUGCCUUUUAGCUAUCUCUCUCUUACAAACAUUUAUUUGUCUGUUUCGGGUCUUAGUUGGAGCAUUCAGGAUCUACCACUGUGAUGCGUGGACUCUCCGGUUGUGGCACAUGGCUUGGUUGUUCUGCAGCAUGUGGGAUCUUUCAGGUACAAUUUCCAAAAGACUUAUGCUAUCUACAAGGAGCUUGGAGUUGAGCUACUGUGUGAUCCAUGUAAACAAAUGAUGAUAAACAAGUUAAGGCGCAUUUAUGUACAAAGUGGUCUAAGAACACUGUAAACGGAGGAAUUGCUUGUUUCAGGCUGCUAGGAAAAGAGUAAAGGGUACAGGAGAGAAAGGAGAGAAAACUGGCAUUGAGUCUUGAAAGACAACUUGCGCCCCCUAGACAGACAUCACUGGGGUAGGCGAGUUGCUAAGGGAAUGGGAUGGACAGUAUUCCAGACAAAUGGAGGAACAGGUGAAAAGGAGGUGGUAGGAGGGAACUGAGAAAGUGCGCUGGGUUUGGGGAACUGGGGCAAAGCAGGAGAGCAUAACAACGGCCAGAGAGAAGGUACAGGAGUGGAUUCGAGGCAGGCCAGCAAAAGAAUUCAUGGAUGUCAAUCUUUGCUAGUGCUCACGCUCAGUCACUUCAUUCAUGUCCAACUCUUU
rnacentral:lncRNA from 1 species